CCAGACUUCAUUUAAGGCUUGGCCGUGGAGAUGAGGGUAUCUCUCUGGAGCUCCCUGUGUACCUGAGAUCUUCUAAAGUUUUCUUCUUGAACAACCAGAGCAGAGCAGCUUCUGUGUUCACCAUGGGCUGUGCAUUCCUGCUAAAAAUGAAAUAGCAAUGACUUCUGGAUAAAAAGCAGAGCCUGGGAUUUCCAACUUUCCAUUCCUCCCAUCAAAGCAGGGAUUACAGUGAGAAGGACAAUCUGGAAUUCGUUUGUUGCCUCGCCAACAAACACCUGUACAUUUUCCAUUCUUCCCAUCCUCUUGACACUCUCAGGCUUGCGGUGGGCUGCAGGAUAAAGCAGGCUUGUAUCUGAAAACAAAACAACUUUCCUGAACAGAAGGUUUUGGAGAGAACCCAUCUGGAGUGAAUUCCAUGCUUCUUCCCAGGCACUAGAAAAGUGUGCAAGUUUUCUGAGCUGGAGCAGAAGGAUUAUCUAUAGCACUGCAAUCCAACUCAAUUGGAAAUCCAACUGACAGUUGGAAAAUAUAUGAAACGUCCUUCCUUAUACAUGAGAAAAGAUGGGUAGAGGUUUUUCUCCUUUCUUCUUUUUGGUUAUUAACAAUGUAACUCUUUCAGAGUAAUAGAUUAACUCAGAAAGGACUGCUAGUGUGUGACCAAGGCUGCAAUGAGAGGAAAUGU